rnacentral:rRNA from 1 species
UACGUAGGGGGCGAGCGUUGUCCGGAUUCACUGGGCGUAAAGGGUUCGUAGGCGGCAUGUCAAGUCUCACGUCAAAGCCCCGGGCUCAACUCGGGAUCGGCAUGGGAUACUGGCAAGCUUGAGGACGGGAGAGGCGAGCGGAACGUUGCAAGUAGCGGUGAAAUGCAUUGAUAUGCAACGGAACACCAAUGGCGAAGGCAGCUCGCUGGCCCGUAUCUGACGCUGAGGGACGAAAGCCAGGGUAGCGAAC